AAGACGACGCCGGGAGAAGGCGGGGCAACCCGCCGCCGAAGGAGCAACCGCCCCGGAAACUCUCAGGUCCCAGGACCGGCGUCGCCUC
rnacentral:ncRNA from 2 species